rnacentral:rRNA from 1 species
AAUGCCUAGGAAUCUGCCUGGUAGUGGGGGAUAACGUUCGGAAACGGACGCUAAUACCGCAUACGUCCUACGGGAGAAAGCAGGGGACCUUCGGGCCUUGCGCUAUCAGAUGAGCCUAGGUCGGAUUAGCUAGUUGGUGAGGUAAUGGCUCACCAAGGCGACGAUCCGUAACUGGUCUGAGAGGAUGAUCAGUCACACUGGAACUGAGACACGGUCCAGACUCCUACGGGAGGCAGCAGUGGGGAAUAUUGGACAAUGGGCGAAAGCCUGAUCCAGCCAUGCCGCGUGUGUGAAGAAGGUCUUCGGAUUGUAAAGCACUUUAAGUUGGGAGGAAGGGUUGUAGAUUAAUACUCUGCAAUUUUGACGUUACCGACAGAAUAAGCACCGGCUAACUCUGUGCCAGCAGCCGCGGUAAUACAGAGGGUGCAAGCGUUAAUCGGAAUUACUGGGCGUAAAGCGCGCGUAGGUGGUUUGUUAAGUUGGAUGUGAAAUCCCCGGGCUCAACCUGGGAACUGCAUUCAAAACUGACUGACUAGAGUAUGGUAGAGGGUGGCGGAAUUUCCUGUGUAGCGGUGAAAUGCGUAGAUAUAGGAAGG